rnacentral:rRNA from 1 species
UAUUAGUCAAUGCUCGCAAGAGUGAACUAGCUAACUGAAAUCAAAGGUGUGUCACUUUUGAUAAGGUAAAGGAAAAUAAAUGAUACUACUUUACUAUUAGUGUCGUCCAAGUACUCGUGCCAGAAGACUCGGUAAGGCGAGAGACGCAAACGUUAGUCGUCUUGAUCAGGCGUAAAGGGUUUGUAGGCGGCUUUAAGAAUGGAUUCUUUCUAAAUUACAUUUUUCUAAAUUUAGAAUAACGUCCUUUAAAAGGAAAGGAAACAUCAAUUAAAGCUAGAAUCAAAUAGAGGUCAAUUUAAAUAAUACUUGGUGUAAGAUUGGUAUCUUUAAAAACCAAGCGGAAUACUAACGGCGAAGGCUUUUUUCCAUUAAUGAUUGACGCUGAGAAACUAAGGUGAGGACAGAAAAAAGGAUUAGAGACCCUCGUAUUCCUCACUGUCAACGAUGAAUGGUAGUUACUAGAUAUUAUUGAUAUAUAUAUUUUUCAUAUAUAAAUAUAUAAUCAAAUCUAGAGGCGAUGUUAACACGAAAACCAUUCCGCCUUGUGAGUACGACUGCAAAGUUGAAAACAAAAAAAUUAGUCGGUUUCGGAGCAAACGAAGUGAAGCAUGUUAUUUAAUU